rnacentral:rRNA from 1 species
AGCAGCCGCGGUAAUUCCAGCUCCAAUAGCGUAUAUUAAAGUUGUUGCAGUUAAAAAGCUCGUAGUUGAAUUUCAGGCCUGGCUGGACGGUCCGCCCUUCGGGUGAGUACUGUCUGUGGUCGGGUCCUACCUUCUGGCGAAGCGUCAUGGCCUUAACCGGCCGUGGCGGGGAACCAGGACUUUUACUGUGAAAAAAUUAGAGUGUUCAAAGCAGGCAAAUCGCUUGGAUACAUUAGCAUGGAAUAAUGGAAUAGGACGAUGGUUCUACUUGUUGGUUUCUAGGACCGUUGUAAUGAUUAAUAGGGAUAGUUGGGGGCAUUAGUAUUCAAUUGUCAGAGGUGAAAUUCUUGGAUUUAUUGAAGACUAACUACUGCGAAAGCAUUUGCCAAGGAUGUUUUCAUUAAUCAAGAACGAAAGUUAGGGGAUCGAAGACGAUCAGAUACCGUCGUAGUCUUAACCAUAAACUAUGCCGACUAGGAAUCGGGCGAUGUUGACAAAAAUGACGCGCUCGGCACCUCAU